rnacentral:rRNA from 1 species
UACGGAGGGGGCUAGCGUUGUUCGGAAUUACUGGGCGUAAAGCGCACGUAGGCGGCUUUGUAAGUUAGAGGUGAAAGCCCGGAGCUCAACUCCGGAAUAGCCUUUAAGACUGCAUCGCUAGAACGUUGGAGAGGUAAGUGGAAUUCCGAGUGUAGAGGUGAAAUUCGUAGAUAUUCGGAAGAACACCAGUGGCGAAGGCGGCUCACUGGCCCGGUACUGACGCUGAGAUACGAAAGCGUGGGGAGCAAACAGG